GAAUGCUGACAUAAGUAACGAUAAAGCGGGUGAAAAGCCCGCUCGCCGGAAGACCAAGGGUUCCUGUCCAACGUUAAUCGGGGCAGGGUGAGUCGACCCCUAAGGCGAGGCCGAAAGGCGUAGUCGAUGGGAAACGGGUUAAUAUUCCCGUACUUGGUGUUACUGCGAAGGGGGGACGGAGAAGGCUAUGUUGGCCGGGCGACGGUUGUCCCGGUUUAAGCGUGUAGGUGUGUGUUCCAGGUAAAUCCGGUUCACUUUAACACUGAGGCGUGAUGACGAGGCACUACGGUGCUGAAGCAACAAAUGCCCUGCUUCCAGGAAAAGCCUCUAAGCAUCAGGUAACAUCAAAUCGUACCCCAAACCGACACAGGUGGUCAGGUAGAGAAUACCAAGGCGCUUGAGAGAACUCGGGUGAAGGAACUAGGCAAAAUGGUGCCGUAACUUCGGGAGAAGGCACGCUGACACGUAGGUGAAGUGAUUUACUCACGGAGCUGAAGUCAGUCGAAGAUACCAGCUGGCUGCAACUGUUUAUUAAAAACACAGCACUGUGCAAACACGAAAGUGGACGUAUACGGUGUGACGCCUGCCCGGUGCCGGAAGGUUAAUUGAUGGGGUCAGCGCAAGCGAAGCUCCUGAUCGAAGCCCCGGUAAACGGCGGCCGUAACUAUAACGGUCCUAAGGUAGCGAAAUUCCUUGUCGGGUAAGUUCCGACCUGCACGAAUGGCGUAAUGAUGGCCAGGCUGUCUCCACCCGAGACUCAGUGAAAUUGAACUCGCUGUGAAGAUGCAGUGUACCCGCGGCAAGACGGAAAGACCCCGUGAACCUUUACUAUAGCUUGACACUGAACAUUGAGCCUUGAUGUGUAGGAUAGGUGGGAGGCUUUGAAGUGUGGACGCCAGUCUGCAUGGAGCCGGCCUUGAAAUACCACCCUUUAAUGUUUGAUGUUCUAACGUGGACCCGUGAUCCGGGUUGCGGACAGUGUCUGGUGGGUAGUUUGACUGGGGCGGUCUCCUCCUAAAGAGUAACGGAGGAGCACGAAGGUUGGCUAAUCCUGGUCGGACAUCAGGAGGUUAGUGCAAUGGCAUAAGCCAGCUUGACUGCGAGCGUGACGGCGCGAGCAGGUGCGAAAGCAGGUCAUAGUGAUCCGGUGGUUCUGAAUGGAAGGGCCAUCGCUCAACGGAUAAAAGGUACUCCGGGGAUAACAGGCUGAUACCGCCCAAGAGUUCAUAUCGACGGCGGUGUUUGGCACCUCGAUGUCGGCUCAUCACAUCCUGGGGCUGAAGUAGGUCCCAAGGGUAUGGCUGUUCGCCAUUUAAAGUGGUACGCGAGCUGGGUUUAGAACGUCGUGAGACAGUUCGGUCCCUAUCUGCCGUGGGCGCUGGAGAACUGAGGGGGGCUGCUCCUAGUACGAGAGGACCGGAGUGGACGCAUCACUGGUGUUCGGGUUGUCAUGCCAAUGGCACUGCCCGGUAGCUAAAUGCGGAAGAGAUAAGUGCUGAAAGCAUCUAAGCACGAAACUUGCCCCGA
rnacentral:rRNA from 1 species